rnacentral:rRNA from 1 species
UACAGAGGUCUCGAGCGUUGUUCGGAUUCAUUGGGCGUAAAGGGUGCGUAGGUGGCGCUGUAAGUCGGGUGUGAAAUCCUGAGGCUUAACCUCGGAACUGCAUUCGAUACUGCGGCGCUUGAGGACUGGAGAGGAGACUGGAAUUCAUGGUGUAGCAGUGAAAUGCGUAGAGAUCCGGAAGAACACCGGUGGCGAAGGCGGUCUGCUGGGCAGUAGCUGACACUGAGGCGCGACAGCGUGGGGAGCAAACAGG